rnacentral:tRNA from 1 species
UUAGACUUUAAGUUAUAAAAACUAGGGGCCUUCAAAGCCUUAAAAGAGUCUUGCUCAAGUUUAA